rnacentral:rRNA from 1 species
GACGAACGCUGGCGGCGUGCUUAACACAUGCAAGUCGAACGGAAAGGCCCUGCUUUUGUGGGGUGUUCGAGUGGCGAACGGGUGAGUAACACGUGAGUCACCUGCCCUUGACUUUGGGAUAACUUCAGGCAACUGCUGCUAAUACCGGCUCGGUGCUCCUGCUGCAUGGUGGGUGUUGGAAAGUUUCGGCGGUUGGGGAUGGACGUGCGGCUUAUCAGCUUGUUGGUGGGGUAGUGGCUUAACAAGGCUUUGACGGGUAGCCGGACUGGGAGGGUGACCGGCUACAGUGGGACUGAGGUGCGGCCAGGAGUCAAACGGGGGGCAUGAGUGGGAGAUAGUGCACGAUGGGCGGAGGGUGGAUGCAACACCGCCGCGUGGGGGAGGACGGCCAUCGGGGUGUAGGCCGCUUUCGCCUGUGACGAAGCGUGAGUGACGGUAAUGGGUAAAGAAGCACCGGCUAACUACGUG